rnacentral:rRNA from 1 species
UACGGAGGGUGCAAGCGUUAUCCGGAUUCACUGGGUUUAAAGGGUGCGUAGGUGGGUUGGUAAGUCAGUGGUGAAAUCCCCGAGCUUAACUUGGGAACUGCCAUUGAUACUAUCAGUCUUGAAUACCGUGGAGGUCGGCGGAAUAUGUCAUGUAGCGGUGAAAUGCUUAGAUAUGACAUAGAACACCAAUUGCGUAGGCAGCUUACUACACGAUCAUUGACGCUGAGGCACGAAAGCGUGGGGAGCAAACAGG